CAUCCUCCAAGGCUAAAUACUCCUGACUGACCGAUAGUGAACCAGUACCGUGAGGGAAAGGCGAAAAGAACCCCGGCGAGGGGAGUGAAAAAGAACCUGAAACCGUGUACGUACAAGCAGUGGGAGCACAGGUUUACCUGUGUGACUGCGUACCUUUUGUAUAAUGGGUCAGCGACUUAUAUUCUGUAGCAAGGUUAACCGAAUAGGGGAGCCGUAGGGAAACCGAGUCUUAAUUGGGCGUUAAGUUGCAGGGUAUAGACCCGAAACCCGGUGAUCUAGCCAUGGGCAGGUUGAAGGUUGGGUAACACUAACUGGAGGACCGAACCGACUAAUGUUGAAAAAUUAGCGGAUGACCUGUGGCUGGGGGUGAAAGGCCAAUCAAACCGGGAGAUAGCUGGUUCUCCCCGAAAGCUAUUUAGGUAGCGCCUCGUGAAUUCAUCUCCGGGGGUAGAGCACUGUUUCGGCUAGGGGGCCAUCCCGGCUUACCAACCCGAUGCAAACUGCGAAUACCGGAGAAUGUUAUCACGGGAGACACACGGCGGGUGCUAACGUCCGUCGUGAA
rnacentral:rRNA from 1 species